rnacentral:rRNA from 1 species
GACGAACGCUGGCGGCGUGCCUAAUACAUGCAAGUCGAACGCAGUGGGGACGGGUGAGUAACACGUGGGUAACCUCCCAUCAGAGGGGAUAACACUUGGAAACAGGUGCUAAACCGAUACUGAUGGAUGGACCCGCGGUGGAUUAGCUAGUGGGGGGGGUAACGGCUCACCAAGGCAACAAUGCAUAGCCGGCUUGAGAGGGUGACCGGCCACACUGGGACUGAGACACGGCCCAGACUCCUACGGGAGGCAGCAGUGGGGAAUUUUCGACAAUGGGCGAAACUCUGACCGAGCAACGCCGCGUGAAUGAAGAAGGUUUUCGGAUUGUAAAGUUCUUUUGUUAGAGAAGCGGUAUCUGCCGAAUAAGCCCCGGCUAACUACGUGCCAGCAGCCGCGGUAAUAC